AUUGAACGCUGGCGGCAUGCCUUACACAUGCAAGUCGAACGCGAAAGUAGGGGCAACCCUGCGGGUAGAGUGGCGAACGGGUGAGUAAUGCAUCGGAGCAUUUCCAGUAGCGGGGGAUAACCUCGAGAAAUCGAGGCUAAUACCGCAUACGUCCUACGGGAGAAAGCGGGGGACCGCAAGGCCUCGCACUAUUGGAGUGGCCGAUGCCGGAUUAGCUAGUUGGCGGGGUAAAAGCCCACCAAGGCGACGAUCCGUAGCUGGUCUGAGAGGAUGAUCAGCCACACUGGGACUGAGACACGGCCCAGACUCCUACGGGAGGCAGCAGUGGGGAAUUUUGGACAAUGGGCGCAAGCCUGAUCCAGCCAUGCCGCGUGAGUGAAGAAGGCCUUCGGGUUGUAAAGCUCUUUCGGCCGGGACGAAAUCGCACCCUUUAAUACGGGGUGUGGAUGACGGUACCGGAAGAAGAAGGACCGGCUAACUACGUGCCAGCAGCCGCCGUAA
rnacentral:rRNA from 1 species